ACAUUUUUACACUCUUGACCUCGGAUCAGGUAGGGAUACCCGCUGAACUUAAGCAUAUCAAUAA
rnacentral:rRNA from 1 species